GCAACCUGGGAGAGAGGGAAUGCAAAACAGAUGCAAACCUCGUAAGUUAACAGUGGCCAGGAGUGGAGCAGCUGUACUCCGGGCAGGGGGCUUGGCAAUGGCUGCUGUCCUAUCUGAUCUCUGAGAGAGUGCAGCAAUUGGGACUGACUGCUGGCUCUUCCGCAUCCCCAGACUUGUGUGUUAAAUACUUCCUAAUGUGGGAGAACAAGGCAGAAAGGAUUCUCUUGCUGAAAAGGGGUCAGGAAAAAGAACUUGUUUUAAACUAGUAGCAUAGGCUUCUGACACAGGUGAGAAGGCGGGGGGCGGGGGUUACUUUAUUAAUUGUCUUAGAAUCCAAGACUUAAAUCAGGAAUAGGGAACCGGUGACUCUCCAGAUGUUGCUGAACUAACUACAACUCCCAACAGUCCCAGCAAGCAUGGCUAAUGGUCAGGGAUGGUGAGAGCUGUAGGCCAGCAACAUCUGGCAGCCAGAGUUUCCCCACAUCUGAUUAAGAUGGAAGGAUGUCCUUCCCCUACUUUCCUCACCUAGUCCAAUCAGUGCACAUGGCACAAAGCCUGGCUGGCAAGGGGGUCAGUGUGGAGGAGGUCAUGUGUCACCUAAAAGGUUUUUAGGGCCACUCAACAUGAGUGCUGGUUGAAUCCUUUCUGCUAUGCCAAAGGUGGUGGUGGGAGAAGUCCCAAACGAACAAGGAGAGAGAAGGGCUACAUGGGUCUAGAGUAAUAAUGGGGAACCUUUGUCCUCAUAGGUGGUGGUGGGACUCCAACUCCCAUCAGCCCCAGCAAGCAACACAGCCAAUGGCCAGAGAGGAUGGGAGAUGUAUUCCAGCAACAUCUGGGGGAAAGAUGAGUGAGAUAAUGAAGAAGAACAAACAGUGCUGGCAGGACUGAAACUGUAUCGGCCGCAGGCAGGUGAAGGCUUGCCCGUUGCUGGGGCAGCUGAGUGUCAUGUAUCAUCGGGCGGCUUUGUCUGGCCCCAGCCAUCCCCUGGAACAGCACCGGUUGAGCAAACAGCGGCAACCGCCAAGCCGCUUGACAUUCGUAAGCCAAGACCCAGGAAACAGAUCCUGCAAAGGUGGCUGGGAACUUCCCACUGCUUGGGGAAAGGGAACAGAAUCCGUUAUCAAAGGAGGAGGAAGAUAACCUGGUGGAAAAAACACUCUUUAUGGAGGAAAUGGCCAAGAGUGACUGAGUGCAACUGUAUGCACACUUCCUUGUGAGUUUUAGAUCCAGUGUCAGACUUUUUGCUGCUGCCAACUGGUGAAAGAUCCUUCCCCAACACCAUGUUACACCAGAGGAGAGAGACUUACCUAGCCUGCCGCACUCUUCCCUCUUGGUGAAGUACUUGAAGCCAUUGGCUGCUCUGCGCUCUGCCUUCUCAUGCUUCUUCACGUGCCAGGGGAGUUUGGUGGUGAUGUUGGUCACAAAAAAGCAGCCAGGGCGAAGACAGUGGUAAUGCCCUCGCAUUCGGAACUCACAGUGCUGGAAGGAGAAGAUGAGGGCAAGCAAGGUCAGCAUACAACACAAACAGCAACCCUGACUCAGAACAAAACCCAACCAAGUUAGCGUGAGGUCUGGUGGUAGGAAUCUCCCAGCAUAAUUUUUUCUCUCUGACCCUUAUGAAAUGCAUGUAUUUAUCCAAGUA